UACAGAGGUCUCAAGCGUUGUUCGGAUUCAUUGGGCGUAAAGGGUGCGUAGGUGGCGCGCUAAGUCAGGUGUGAAAUUUCGGAGCUUAACUCCGAAACUGCAUUUGAUACUGGCGUGCUUGAGGACUGGAGAGGAGACUGGAAUUUACGGUGUAGCGGUGAAAUGCGUAGAUAUCGUAAGGAAGACCAGUGGCGAAGGCAGGUCUCUGGACAGUUCCUGACGCUGAGGCACGAAGGUCAGGGGAGCAAAAGGG
rnacentral:rRNA from 1 species